rnacentral:rRNA from 1 species
UACGUAGGUGACCAGCGUUGUCCGGAUUUACUGGGCGUAAAGAGCGCGCAGGCGGUCGUCAAGUCGAGUGUGAAAGCCCCCGGCUCAACUGGGGAGGGUCAUUCGAUACUGAUCGACUUGAAGGCAGGAGAGGGAAGCGGAAUUCCCGGUGUAGUGGUGAAAUGCGUAGAUAUCGGGAGGAACACCAGUGGCGAAGGCGGCUUCCUGGCCUGUUCUUGACGCUGAGGCGCGAAAGCUAGGGGAGCAAACGGG